ensembl:snRNA LOC120102057 U1 spliceosomal RNA
AUACUAACCUGGUAGGGGAGUUAGUGAUCAAAAAGGUGGAUUUCUAAGGGUGGGGUUUCUCCAGAUUGUCGGCCCCUCAACCUCCCCAGAUGUGGAACUAACUGCAUAAUUUGUGGUAGCAGAGACUGUGUUCUCCAGCUCCUC